GAUCCAAAAGCUAUUAAAGUCA
rnacentral:miRNA from 15 species